GCCUAACACAUGCAAGUCGAACGAAGCCUUCGGGCUUAGUGGCGGACGGGUGAGUAACACGUUAGUACCUGCCCUUUAGUGGGGAAUAACUCGGCGAAAGUCGGGCUAAUACCGCAUACGAUCCUUCGGGAUGAAAGCAUUUAUGCGCUAAAGGAGGGGCUUGCGUCUGAUUAGCUAGUUGGUAGGGUAAUGGCCUACCAAGGCAAUGAUCAGUAGCUGGUUCGAGAGGAUGACCAGCCACACUGGGACUGAGAUACGGCCCAGACUCCUACGGGAGGCAGCAGUGAGGAAUCUUCCGCAAUGGACGAAAGUCUGACGGAGCAACACCGCGUGCAGGAUGACGGCCUUCGGGUUGUAAACUGCUUUUAUUUGGGAAGAUUAUGACGGUACCAAAUGAAUAAGGACCGGCUAACUACGUGCCAGCAGCCGCGGUAAUACGUAGGGUCCAAGCGUUAUCCGGAAUCACUGGGCGUAAAGCGUGCGUAGGUGGUAAUUUGCGUGCAGUGCGAAAUUGUGUGGCUCAACCAUACAACGGUACUGCAUACGGGAUUACUAGAGGACAUGAGAGGCAAGUGGAAUUACUGGUGUAGCAGUGAAAUGCGUAGAUAUCAGUAGGAACACCAAUGGCGAAGGCAGCUUGCUGGCAUGUAUCUGACGCUAAGGCACGAAAGCGUGGGGAGCGAACAGGAUUAGAUACCCUGGUAGUCCACGCCGUAAACGAUGCAUAUUAUUAGUAUGGAGUAUCGACCCUCUGUGCUGAGAAGCUAACGCGUUAAAUAUGCCGCCUGGGGAGUACGAGCGCAAGCUUAAAACUCAAAAGGAAUUGACGGGGCUCCGCACAAGCAGUGGAUCAUGUGGUUUAAUUCGAAGCUACGCGUAGAACCUUACCGAGGCUUGACAUCCCGAUCGUAGACCUAAGAAACUAGGUCGUCAGUUCGGCUGGAUCGGUGACAGGUGCUGCAUGGCCGUCGUCAGCUCGUGUCGUGAGAUGUUGGGUUAAGUCCCGCAACGAGCGCAACCCUUGUCGUGUGUUGUAUUUUUCACGCGCGACCGCCCGGGCCAACCGGGAGGAAGGUGGGGAUGACGUCAGGUCAGCAUGGCCCUUACGCCUCGGGCUACACACGUGAUACAAUGGCCGGUACAACGGGUCGCUAAGUCGCAAGACGGAGCUAAUCCCAUCAAAACCGGUCCCAGUUCGGAUUGCAGGCUGCAACCCGCCUGCAUGAAGUUGGAAUUGCUAGUAACCGUGGGUCAGCACACCACGGUGAAUACGUUCCCGGAGCUUGUACACACCGCCCGUCACACCACGAAAGUUGGGGGUGCCCGACGUGCCUAUUUUCUAGGCCCUAAGGCAAAUCCAGUAAUUGGGGUGAAGUCGUAACAAGGUAUCCGUAGCGGAAGCUGCGGCUGGAUCACCUCCU
rnacentral:rRNA from 1 species